AAAUCCCUUGAUGUUUGAUUGAAGCUGAAUAGGGAAGAAAACAGUUAAUCGUAUCCUGUCUUACAUUUUAGGGGAUCCAGUUUGGCAGAGCACGCGUGGACACAAUCCGAUAGAAUUCUUUGGCAGUCCAUUUAAAGUAGAAUCUAAUGUGCAGCUCGAAUGUACUUACGGACAGAACAGACAUGACAAAAACAAAGAAGAUUCGCCAGAGGUUAUUCUUUAUUUUCAAUUUGUAUCGUUGCCUCUUUUUUGUAACGACAGCGGUAUUUUGACGCUUGUGCACAAAAUAUGCUUGGCAAUCCAGAAUUUUUUAAUAGCAUGCAUACAAAUUAAAUUUUUUCAAAUAUCAUGGAGAUAAGGAUACAAGAAUCUUAACGACUUUAGUGUAAAAUAUUAUGGGGGUUUUUAUUUGUGAAAUUUCAGGAGAGCAUCAAUAAUCAUCCAAGUUGGAAAAAACGACGAAUGAGGCUGCAAGAUUCGCGAAAACUUGGAUGUCCUGCAAAGAUCUUUGUGCGAUCUAUAACAGUGUACCCAGAUUAUGACAUAUCUGAUAAAGCCAAGACUGAAAGUCGCAGACAUUUUGACAGAUUUACAAAGAAGGAGUGGUUGCAGAAGUUGAAGGAAAAUAUCGGAAAUCCUGAUCUUAAAAUUUUUAAACGAUAUUACCUAUGUGUUCCGGACCAAUGCGCCCAUACAUCGCACGCUGUUGGUGUUUUUGCCGGGCUGGGCCAACCAAUUAACCAGAAGGUGAAAGAACAAAUUCACAAACUGACAAAUUCAGGUGUAUCCGACGUCCAGACAAUGAGAGAGCUGCUGAAAGAUUUUAUCUUAAAUGAUAUGUUUGCACACACCAGCAGAAAGCCAGAUGUACUUAACACCGCAUUCUUUCCAAGAGAUAGGUGCAUUGCAAACCACAUGUAUAUAGCUGCCACGAAACAGAAACUUAGCUGUAUGGACCAGGUAAAUUUACAGCAGAGAAUCAAAGAAUGGGAGCAACAAUAACAUAUGCUUGAUGGAUGCAACAUACAAAACAACAAAAUACGCGUUACCUUUGUUCUUUGUCAUCGUAAAUACAAAUGCUGGGUACAAAGUUGCAGCGGAAUUUAUCACUCAAGAAGAAAAUACAGAGUCGGUUGAAGAGGCAUUGCUUGUUUUGAAGAAUUGGAAUCCAAGCUGGAAACCACAAUUCUUCAUGUGUGAUUAUUCCCAAAUUGAAAUAAACGCUAUUGAGUCGGUAUUCUCAGAAUGCGGAACAAAAGUACUGAUAUGUGCUUUUCACAGAGAGCAAGCCUGGGAACGUUGGACGGAACGAAAGGAGUCAACACUAAGUCAUGAAGAAAGGAAAGAGUUACUGGGAUACUUACGUACAGUAGCCGACGCCCCAGCAAAUGAUGAAGAGAACACUAAUCCUUUUCAACUUGCUGUUGAUAACCUUAAAUCUUCCCAUGUUUGGAAUUCGAA